CAUCGAGACUCCUACGGGGAGGCAGCAGUGGGGAAUAUUGCACAAUGGGGGAAACCCUGAUGCAGCCAUGCCGCGUGUGUGAAGAAGGCCUUCGGGUUGUAAAGCACUUUCAGUAGGGAGGAAGGUAGUGUAGUUAACACCUGCAUUAUUUGACGUUACCUACAGAAGAAGCACCGGCUAACUCCGUGCCAGCAGCCGCGGUAAUACGGAGGGUGCGAGCGUUAAUCGGAAUUACUGGGCGUAAAGCGCAUGCAGGCGGCCUGUUAAGUCAGAUGUGAAAGCCCGGGGCUUAACCUCGGAAUUGCAUUUGAAACUGGCAGGCUAGAGUCUUGUAGAGGGGGGUAGGAAUUUCAGGUGUAGCGGUGAAAUGCGUAGAGAUCUGAAGGAAUACCAGUGGCGAAGGCGGCCCCCUGGACAAAGACUGACGCUCAGAUGCGAAAGCGUGGGGAGCAAACAGGAUUAGAUACCCUGGUAG
rnacentral:rRNA from 1 species